rnacentral:lncRNA from 1 species
GCGGAUCCCCAUUAACAGUAAAGGGUCAAUGAGCACUCAACCAUCAAACAGUGAAACCGAAGCCACCUCAAUAAUGGAGUCACACAGCCCCGAUAACUCCUCCUUCCAUCUCAGAGUUGAAAAACUAAACGGAAGGAACUAUCGAAAGUGGGUUCAGUCAAUAAAGCUAAUCAUCGACGGAAAAGGUAGGAUUGGUUACAUUACUGGUGAAACGAAGAAACCUAUAGAUCCUGUCCUCUCGAAGAAGUGGAGUUCAGAAAAUUCAAUGGUAACAUCUUAGCUCAUAAAAAACCUAUCUAUUUCUGCCUACAGCAAAAGACAUAUGGGACGCCGUGAAGGAGAUGUACUCAGACUCAGAAAACUGCUCUAAGAUAUUUGAAAUUAAGACCCGUUUGUGGCUAGCAAAACAAGGAGAUAGGGAAGUGACAGAGUACUAAAUGGAGAUGUCCUCUCUCUUGCAGGAACUUGAUUUGAAUUUCAAAGAAGCAAAUUUGAAUUUCGAAGAAGCAUGGGAGUGCCCGGGCGACAUCGUGAGAUUUAAAAAAGGGUUUGAAAAUGAAAGAGUCCAUGAGUUCUUAGUCGGUCUUAACCACGACUCAGAAGGCGAAGUGUUUUAUGAAGUGAGAAGAGAUGAGAGCAGGAGGAAGACGAUGUUGACGGAGAUCGGACCUCUGGAGUGGAUAUGUCGGCGCUGUUGUCUAAAGGGUAUGGGAUUGCUGUAAUGGGCUUUAAAAAUGGAGUUGGGCCUCAAGAUAUACCAUCUUCUAAAACUAGAGUUGGGCUAUUUAAAGCUUCAAAAAUUGAUGGGCCUGCUAUGAUUUCAGCACUCAUAUCUAAAAGGUCAUCUAAUGGGUCAAGCCCAAAGCACUAAAACAAACGUUCUUGGUGCGAGCAUUGUCGAAAGUCGGGACACGAAGAAGACACAUGUUAGGUAUUACAUGGGAAACCAAGGGAUUGGAAACCAAAACCAAAAUUUAGAAGCUGUGGCUACCAAGUCUCCAGUUACCCGACCGAGUGAUCCAAGGAAAUAAAAUCUUCAAGGGGCGCAUUUAAUCCUAAACAAAUGGAGCAACUAUGCCAGAUUUUCUCUAGUCUCCAAACGUCUAGUUACUUGACCAUAAAUAGCCCAUCGAGUUCUCGAGCCCACAAAGUUAAUUCUUAAGAGCUCUAAAUUCAACCUCAAAAUAUAAAACUCUCUAGAUUAUUGACUCAGGGGCACCCGAUCACGUGACGAACUCUUAUCAUCUCUUAUCCCCAUACUCAACCUGCACCGGUAAUACUAAAGUUAAAAUUACAGAUGGCUCACUUUAACCUGUUGUAUGAAAAGAGAGUAUUCAAAUCUCCAAAUUCACAAGUCUUCAAUCCGUUCAUGUUCCAAAUUUAUCUUGCAAUCUAUUAUCUAUUAGUCAAUUGACUAACAUUUAAAUUGCUUUGCUAAAUUUCUCCCAUCUUGUUGUGUUUUUUCAGGGCCUAUCACCAGGGAAGACGAUUGGUAGUUCUAAAGAGUGUGAAUGACUCUACUACUUUGAAGAAGCAGAUGUAAGUAAACAAUGUCAAACUGCAAUUUGUGAUUCUACAUUUACUGUUGACCUCUAAAAAUGGCUCCAACAGGCACCCUAGCUUUGUCCCCUCGAAACCUGCGCAUGUAACACCCGUCAAGAGGCAAAGGCGGCCAGACGAGAAAAAGGUCUGGUGACCGUUUGCACUCCGACUGUCAAGUCAACGGCAGGACGGAGAUAGAUAUAUAGAGUGCAAUAGUAGAGAGAUAGGGGAUUUGGCUAGAGUAUUUAGAACAUUCCUUAACUUGUGAAUUGAAUCCAUAUAUAUAGAGAAAUGAUGUGAAAUGGGCUAAGGCGGGUUAAUGGGCCUAAGUUCGAGCCCAGUAUGAGGUGAGCAAAGUGAUAGGCACUUCGGCUGGGCUUUUUAUGGCCUCGGUGGCGCCUCGGCUAAGCUUCUUAGAGCCUCGGAUUUGAGGCCCAACACUAAUGGGCCUGGCUCGGGUCCAAUAAGGUGGCCCAAUAUGGAGUGAUAAUUCAUAGGCGUAACAGUAGUCCCCCAAGUCCGAGUCGUGUUAUUUAUAUGCGGGUCGGACUUGAAAUCUAAACUCUCAAGUAGGCGAGGCCUUACAGAUUGCCUCAGAAAGAUGGGUAGCUCCAAUAAGCAAGGGCUUACGAAUUGCCUCGAAAAUAUGCAUCGAUCUCGAAUAGGUGAGGACUUACGAAUUGCCUCGAGAAAUAUGAGUCGCUCCAAUAAAUGAGGACUUACGAACUGCCUCAGAAAAUGUGUCAAAAUAAGUGAGGACUUACAAAUUGCCUCGAAAGAUAUGCUGCGUAUACUUUUUCAAAAUUUCGACAGCAUCUCCUCUGUAAAAUGAACUAAACCAAUCCUGUAAUACAAUACAAUAUAUCCACAGCACAUAUACCAAAUAAAUUUGGGGUCCAUUUGCCCCUUUAAAUGCUCAUAAGGUGUAACAUAUCGCGUUUCUCCAAGAUAUGUGCAGAGUGUCUGUCAUGCAUUAUAAUAAAUCAUAUGCUCGCAUAGCUCAGUGUAUCAGUAGUGCUAUAGUGAAGCAAGUAACAUGAUGUAGACAAUAAAAUGAAAAUGAUGAUAAUACGAGAUACGUACUGGCUGUGAUGAAAAUAAUGUAUGACAUGGUAGCAAUAAUAUGGUAUUCGUGCUUCGAAGCAACAAUAUAGUACAUAAGCUAUGGCAAUGAUAUGUAGUGAUGCUGAGGUACUAGUAUUGCUAUAGUCCCCCAAGUUUGAGUCUAAUAUUCAUUUAUGCAAUGCGUGGACUUCAAUGAAGUAAAGCCAGUGGGUUGGGUAAAAAUUGAAAGAAUUUUUUAAUUCCAAAUAAUAGUCCCCCAAGUUCAAGUAUAGUCAUUUAUGUCAUGGUUGGAGUUAGAAAUGCGUUGUUGUGAAUGAAUGAUGAAGAAGUCGAGGUGGUUGACUAAACCAAACCUGCGAGGCUUGUGAAUGCUGAAUUGUGACGAAGUCGAGGUGGUUGGGAAACCGAACCUGCGAGGCUUGUGAAGGCUGAAAUGUGGUGAAGCCAAGGUGGUUGAGAAACCGAACCUGCGAGGCUUGUGAAGGCUAAAUCGUAAGGCUCAAGCUGCUGAGGCACCUGCUGUCGAGGCACCUCCACCAUUGACUGGGCUUAGUGUAGUUCACUUUUCACUGUAAUCUAUCUUCAUCACAUGCUGUUUUUCUCCGAAGUGUAUUAGCCUCGUUAAGCAAUUGAACUUUACUUAAGCAUAAUAACUAUAACCUGAAGGGAUCCAACGAAUGCUGUUGCAGCCGAACUUAAGCAUAAUAAUUGUAUGAGCCUCGGAAUUCACGUGAAGUGGCUUCUCCCAUUGGCGUUCAGCCUCGCCAAAAGGAGGCAUGUGCUAGCAUCUCGGAGUUCAAGCGAGGUGGCCCAGAGAUGGGACGCAAGCCUCUCCUCCGAGGUGAUGACGCAUCCCAGACAUGGUGGAUGGUGCAACCAUGUUGGGGUUUCUCCCCUUGGCGUUCAGCCUGGCCAAAGGGAGGCAUGUGCUAGCGCCUCGGAGUUCAAGCGAGGUGGCCCAGAGAUGGGACGCGAGCCUCUCCUCCGAGGUGACGACGCAUCCCAAACAUGGUGGAUGGUGCAGCCAUGUUGGGGCUUCUCCCCUUGGCGCUCAGCCUGGUCAAAGGGAGGUAUGUGCUAGCGCCUCGGAGUUCAAGCGAGGUGGCCCAGAGAUGGGACGCGAGCCUCUCCUCCGAGGUGACGACGCAUCUCAGACAUGGUGGAUGGUGCAGCCAUGUUGGGGCUUCUCCCCUUGGCGUUCAGCCUGGCCAAAGGAAGGCAUGUGCUAGCGCCUCGGAGUUCAAGCGAGGUGGCCCAGAAAUGGGACGCGAGCCUCUCCUCCGAGGUGAUGACGCAUCCCAGACAUGGUGGAUGGUGCAGCCAUGUUGGGGCUUCUCCCCUUGGCGCUCAGCCUGGCCAAAGGAAGGCAUGUGCUAGCGCCUCGGAGUUCAAGCGAGGUGGCCCAGAGAUGGGACGCGAGCCUCUCCUCCGAGGUGACAACGCAUCCCAGACAUGGUGGAUAGUGCAGCCAUGUUGGGGCUUCUCCCCUUGGCGCUCAGCCUGGCCAAAGGAAGGCAUGUGCUAGCGCCUCGGAGUUCAAGCGAGGUGGCCCAGAGAUGGGACGCGAGCCUCUUUUCUGAGGUGAUGACGCAUCUCAGACAUGGUGGAUGGUGCAGCCAUGUUGGGGCUUCUCCCCUUGGCGUUCAGCCUGGACAAAGGGAGGCAUGUGCUAACGCCUCGGAGUUCAAGCGAGGUGGCCCAGAGAUGGGACGCGAGCCUCUCCUUCGAGGUGACGACGCAUCCCAGACAUGGUGGAUGGUGCAGCCAUGUUGAGGUAAUAUUAGCUCUCCGAAGAUAAGUAAAUGUAACAUGGCUGAGGCAGAAGCAAAAUUCUGAACUGAACAGCUGUACUAAUACGAAUGCAGAGGCUGACCCUGAACUGAACAGCUGUACUGAUAACGAAGUAGAGGCUGACUCUGAAUUGAACAUAAUAGAUGUACUGAUACGAAUGCUGAGGUCGACUCUGAACAGAAUAAAUGUACUGAUGACGAUGCAGAGGCAGACUUUGAACUGAACGUAGAUAGUUGUUAUGUAGAGGCAUGAUGACCUUUCUAAACAUAAGCGGGGCUAUAAUGCAGUAAUUCGUACAACAAGGCUUCUCAUGAAGUGGUGAACAAAUAUCUAGCUGGUGACUCGUGAUAGUGAAGGGUGAGGGAUAAUCAUCUCACGAAGUUAGGAAUAAGCAUCUGGCGAAGCGGGAAAUGGACAUCCCGUGAAUCACUCUCAAACUAUCGGAGUCUUAUAAGCAGCCUCGGACAAACGAGGUCUUAUAGCUAAGCUCAACAAUAGUGAGAUGUGAGGAAUAAAGAUCUUGCAAAGAAGGUCAGGAAAGACUCCUUUUUCAAUAGCUAGCACGUCUGACCAUUAGCCUCUUCCUUUUUUCAAGGAACAAGGAUUCCAAAAUAUAUGCUUCUUCCUUUAUUCAAGGAACGAGGAUUUCAAGGUACCACCUUUCCCUUUAUUCAAGGAACAAGGACUUCGGAUUGUUUGAAUAAUUCACGUGCCAUAAUGUGAGAAUUAGUAAGUCUGCCUUCAUGAUCAAGAAUUAGCCGAGUAGGACUCUCUAGUGGUUGCUUCUUGUGUGCCACAGAUUUUUCCCAACAAAUAUAUUACCAUGCUCAGAGUGGAGGCAAGACUAAUAAAUUGAAGUAUCCAGCAGAUCCAAGGGAUUUAGAAGAAAAUCCGACCAGCCCAAUUUUUUCAUAAUAAACGACAACUCAAGUAGAAGGGAGAGGGUCAUAAAGAUGUGCCGAGCUGCAUAAAAACAACUCCCCAACUAUGGCCCCACGUGAAGACUAGAUUUAAGCCCAAUCAUAUCAAAGCAAUUUUACCGUGGAAAAUAAGUCUGGGAGUCAGAAUAGUAAUCCCCACUAUGCAGAUAUUAAUUGUUUGGAUUAAAUAAAGUAAUAGGCCCAAUUAAGCUUGCAAUUUAUUUAUUUUUUUAUAAUGGGAGGGCAGCCUAUAUCCCAAAUUUAUCGACCUUUGAGGCCCAAAAUAGAUAAAGAAAGUUCAAUAAUCGGCCCAAGUAAAAUGAAACAUUUAAUUGGCACAAAUUCUAGAGAGCAUGCACAGAUUCCAACCUUGUCUACAAAUGAAUAAUUAGCAAUACCAAACAAGCCUUAAAGUGUACCCACUGUGUCAGCAAAAGUUUGGAAAAAAUUGAUAUUCACAGCUAUUAAUUGUUUGGACACGCCACCAUCACUGUCAUUUUCCAAUCAAAUUAAUGCUAAGACAAUGGACACAAGAGAAAGGAAGAUCGGGGACCAUCCAUGGCCAGUGACUUCAACGGUCUUGGCUGGAAUUUGUGAAAUGCAAGGCUGACCCAAUGGUAGCAAAAUCCAUCUUUAUAAUGAGAAAAUUUUUUGGUUUGGCAUUUCAUCGAGCACUUCGUGGUCUAUCAAUAAAUGGUUGAUUGGCAGCAGAAUUUUUUAUUUUGUAGAACCCGUUUCCAUAAUUUAUCUUUUCCACCAUCUUCAUAGCAAUUCACAAUCAAUUUUUCAAAGAAUGUAGCUUGAGAAUAAAAGUGUGUACCGUACGGCUUUUUGCAAAGCCCAUUGCAAUGGCAGUGGAGAGGCUCGACGAUGUAGCACGCUGGGCUGUCAAAAUUUGCCCUCUGAUCGUGACUGCAUUUUCAUGCAAAAAUGAGGUGGAGUCUUGACUGUUGGUCAGUGUACAUUUUUUGUGGUAGCUUCGGUUUUUGACAAAAAAAAAGUGGCAAGACUCCCUCGUUUGCCGGCGAAUUUUGGUAGAUAAAUUCAUUCAUUUUUGUUGUUGGUUCUGUUCUUCACUUGAAGCUGAUUUCUUUUCCAUGCAAUGUGAGAAUAUUGUUCACGACAAGUGGAGUGUGCAUAGAAUGUUGUUGUCUGCCACUUUGUGAACAACCCAUCAAUAGAGCAUUUUUUCAAUAAGCUUUCAUUUCUU